UUUUUUUUAUGAUACGGCAAU
rnacentral:piRNA from 1 species